GGUCUGAGAGGAUGAUCCGCCACACUGGGACUGAGACACGGCCCAGACUCCUACGGGAGGCAGCAGUGGGGAAUUUUGGACAAUGGGCGUAAGCCUGAUCCAGCCAUGCCGCGUGUCUGAAGAAGGCCUUGGGGUUGUAAAGGACUUUUGUCCGGGAGCAAAUCCCAGUGGUUAAUACCUACUGGGGUUGAGAGUACCGGAAGAAUAAGCACCGGCUAACUACGUGCCAGCAGCCGCGGUAAUACGUAGGGUGCAAGCGUUAAUCGGAAUUACUGGGCGUAAAGCGUGCGCAGGCGGUUGUGCAAGUCUGAUGUGAAAGCCCCGGGCUUAACCUGGGAACGGCAUUGGAGACUG
rnacentral:rRNA from 1 species